GGCAGUGGAGGGGAUGAUAACGAAGGGAUGCAAAUAGUGAAACUAGCAAGGCUGCUUGGGUGGGGGAGGGACAGAGAGAGAGAGAGAAUG